rnacentral:ncRNA from 1 species
AUCCGACGGGGUGCCAUUACGGCUGAGAUCAAACCCAUUGAACCUGCUCUGGUUAGGACCAGCGAAGGGACGGUGUUUAU